rnacentral:rRNA from 1 species
UGGGGAAUAUUGCACAAUGGGCGCAAGCCUGAUGCAGCAACGCCGCGUGAGGGAUGACGGCCUUCGGGUUGUAAACCUCUUUUAGCAGGGAAGAAGCGAAAGUGACGGUACCUGCAGAAAAAGCACCGGCUAACUACGUGCCAGCAGCCGCGGUAAUACGUAGGGUGCAAGCGUUGUCCGGAAUUAUUGGGCGUAAAGAGCUCGUAGGCGGUCUGUCGCGUCUGCUGUGAAAUCCCCGAGGCUCAACCUCGGGCCUGCAGUGGGUACGGGCAGACUAGAGUGCGGUAGGGGAGAAUGGAACUCCUGGUGUAGCGGUGGAAUGCGCAGAUAUCAGGAAGAACACCGAUGGCGAAGGCAGUUCUCUGGGCCGUAACUGACGCUGAGGAGCGAAAGCGUGGGGAGCGAACAGGAUUAGAUACCCUGGUAGUCCACGCCGUAAACGUUGGGCGCUAGAUGUGGGGCACCAUUCCACGGUUUCCGUGUCGCAGCUAACGCAUUAAGCGCCCCGCCUGGGGAGUACGGCCGCAAGGCUAAAACU